CUUAUGCGUUGUUGGGUAGGGGAGCGUUCUGUAAGCCUGUGAAGGUGUGUCGUGAGGCAUGCUGGAGGUAUCAGAAGUGCGAAUGCUGACAUAAGUAACGAUAAAGCGGGUGAAAAGCCCGCUCGCCGGAAGACCAAGGGUUCCUGUCCAACGUUAAUCGGGGCAGGGUGAGUCGACCCCUAAGGCGAGGCCGAAAGGCGUAGUCGAUGGGAAACGGGUUAAUAUUCCCGUACUUGGUGUUACUGCGAAGGGGGGACGGAGAAGGCUAUGUUGGCCGGGCGACGGUUGUCCCGGUUUAAGCGUGUAGGUGUGUGUUCCAGGUAAAUCCGGUUCACUUUAACACUGAGGCGUGACGACGAGGCACUACGGUGCUGAAGCAACAAAUGCCCUGCUUCCAGGAAAAGCCUCUAAGCAUCAGGUAACAUCAAAUCGUACCCCAAACCGACACAGGUGGUCAGGUAGAGAAUACCAAGGCGCUUGAGAGAACUCGGGUGAAGGAACUAGGCAAAAUGGUGCCGUAACUUCGGGAGAAGGCACGCUGACACGUAGGUGAAGUGAUUUACUCAUGGAGCUGAAGUCAGUCGAAGAUACCAGCUGGCUGCAACUGUUUAUUAAAAACACAGCACUGUGCAAACACGAAAGUGGACGUAUACGGUGUGACGCCUGCCCGGUGCCGGAAGGUUAAUUGAUGGGGUCAGCGCAAGCGAAGCUCCUGAUCGAAGCCCCGGUAAACGGCGGCCGUAACUAUAACGGUCCUAAGGUAGCGAAAUUCCUUGUCGGGUAAGUUCCGACCUGCACGAAUGGCGUAAUGAUGGCCAGGCUGUCUCCACCCGAGACUCAGUGAAAUUGAACUCGCUGUGAAGAUGCAGUGUACCCGCGGCAAGACGGAAAGACCCCGUGAACCUUUACUAUAGCUUGACACUGAACAUUGAGCCUUGAUGUGUAGGAUAGGUGGGAGGCUUUGAAGCGUGGACGCCAGUCUGCGUGGAGCCGACCUUGAAAUACCACCCUUUAAUGUUUGAUGUUCUAACGUGGACCCGUAA
rnacentral:rRNA from 1 species